GGAGGUGUCUGGGCUCCUGGUGGUCCCCCCGGUCUUCAAAACCGGUGAGACCGAGCAUCUCGGUCUGGCGGGUUCGAUUCCCGUCCACCUCCGCCA
rnacentral:tRNA from 1 species